UACGGAGGGUGCAAGCGUUAAUCGGAAUUACUGGGCGUAAAGCGUGCGCAGGCGGUUUGUUAAGUCUGCUGUGAAAUCCCCGAGCUCAACUUGGGAACUGCAGUGGAUACUGGCAAGCUGGAGUACGGUAGAGGAAGGUGGAAUUCCCGGUGUAGCAGUGAAAUGCGUAGAUAUCAGGAGGAACACCGAUGGCGAAGGCAGGUCUCUGGGCUGACACUGACGCUCAUGCACGAAAGCGUGGGGAGCAAACAGG
rnacentral:rRNA from 1 species